AUUAUUGGAGCAUCAUUAUUUGGCCUUCUUCUCUCUAAAUAUGACCCGGUGGUAUGCUUAAAAAAUUGAUGUUAGUCCUAUUGUGGUAAAUCUUACUCCUAGUUCUGUUUCAUUCUGUGAUUUGAAGUUUAAAGCACUGCAUAGCACUAGGUAUCUCUGACAUGGCUAACCAACAAGCUUUCCUCUGGGCUCUUGAUCGUACUGUGGAAACUUGUUUUAGUUAUUCCUUCCCGUCUUCACUAAAAUCAGAAAAUAUAACUGCAAAUUUCCAACACUAACUUCAAAUUUCCUCUUCCAUUUGUUAAACUCUAACUAGUUAUCGAACCCAUAGGACAAAGAUAUGUGUUAAAUAAGCAGUAAAAAUGAAUUUUCAAAAAUUUAAAACUUAUCCAAGUUUGCUGCUGCCGCUGCCGAUGUCUGCUGCUGCUACUGAGGCGGUGGCGGUCUGGAUGGGUGAAGCUGGGACGACCAAGCGUAGAAUAGUAAUUUAAUCAUGUCUAUGUUUUUAAAUUAAAGUUGUAUUUCAGUUGUUCUUGAAAAAUCUAUUCCUUCUGAAACAACAACUUCUCGAUUGUUCUUCACUCUCGACAUCUCUCUUUCAAAAAAUCUUGAAGGAACCAAAUUCUCCAAACGUCCUCUUCCCUAAAACAUCUGCAGAACUCUCAACAAAUCCUCCAAAUCCAAUAUGCAGAGCCGAUAAAGACAAGCUUUUUAAUGUCAUUUUCGUCAAUCUCUCCUCCUUUUUAGUAGCGGUCAUUUGAGCAGCAACAGCCACAUGAACUGACCUUCAGUUGUAGCCAACAGAAGGAAUUGCUCUCUACACAUUCAUGUCUGCUUCACCGUCUCCAACUUCGAUUCUUUUGUUCGGAACCUCAAGGUUGAGUUUAAUCCUCUAUUUUCUCUUAUUCAGUUCUAUUAGAAAAUUUAUAUGAUUAAUGGUUUCUCUUUUUUUUUGUUUGAUUCAAGUAUUAUAGAAGAUGUGUUGCUGUUUUCAAUUUCAAUUUCUGUUUAAGAUUAUCCUAAAUUAAUUGUUGAGCCGAUGAUCUAUCAAAAAUAGUCUCUCAGUCUCUCUAUCUCUUAGGUAGGGGUAAGAUUUGCCUACACUCUACCCUUUCCAAACCACUUUUGGUGUGACUACAAUGACUAUUGUUCCUGAUGAUUAUGUUAGAUGUGAUGUCAAAGUGCUGGUACCAACCUUAAUCUGAUGAUUUUUGGUAUCUUUAUGUCAAUUACCUCUUUCCUUUUACCCUUUUAGUAGAUGAUGUUAAUUCUUGUAACGACAAUCUGAAAAUAAAAUUGUGUAAAAUGAGUUUCCUUUGAAUGAGAUAUGUGAAGGGCCAUCCAUAUAGGAAGAGGUGCUGAUUAAUUUGAUUGUCGCUUCUUUGAGGUUUAUCAAGGGGAUUGGAGUUGUUCUUUUCCUAUAAAUGCAUCAAGUUUUUCUUGUUUUAUUUGUUGCAUGUAUUUAAAAGAAGUACAUUAGUAUAACACCUCGGAAAUUGGAAAGUAAAAAAGAAAGGAAAAACUCUUAAUUGUUAUAUGGCUUCUGCCGCUUUCUGGCAUAUCCACAUGCAUAGAAAAUAUCUCUGUUAUGUGAUGUAUAUUUUGGUCAGUAUCCAUAUAAGCAAACCAUUGCUAUUUUUCAGGAUAACUUCUAUCCUUAUCUUUGUAUAUUUUAGAUGCACCAACAGAAGUUGUAAUUUUUGAAAUCGAAGUGUGGUGGGAGACUUUGAGCUGAUGCUAUAGUAUUUUCUUUUGAUUAUUGUGGUGUCCCAUUCGUCUUGUGCACACCUUGACUAAUUUCAUGGGGCUCCUGCUAUCUUCUACCAGCAUCCAUGAACGUAUUAAGAAUGUUAGAAACUCAUUCUUUUGUUAUUUGUUGGUAUUUAUCGAUUGGUGAUAUAGAUAUGCUGCCUCUUCUGCUUUUAGUUUUUAAAAAAUAAUGAUCUAACUUGUGGAUGAUGGGCUUAGAGCCUGUUUGGAUGGGCUUUUAAGCUGGUCAAACUGGCUUAAAAAGCCAGUUUUUGACUUAUUAAAGUGUUUGCCAAUUAUCAAAGUGACUUAUUUUAAGUCAGAAAUGACUUAUUUUAAGCCAAAAGCUAAAAGCUAGGGGAGGGGAGCUUUUUUGUUUUUUAACUUAAAGCCCUUUUAUGUUGACCAAGUAUAUUACGUUUUUGCCCUUAAUUCUUUUAUACAUUUUCCCAAAUUGCCCAUAUUGAAUUAACAUUAUUAUUAUUAUUAUUAUUAUUAUUCUUAUUAUUCUUAUUAUUAUUAUUAUAUUAUUAUUCUUAUUAUUAUUAUUAUUCUUAUUAUUCUUAUUAUUAUUAUUAUAUUAUUAUUCUUAUUAUUAUUAUAUUAUUAUUUAUUCUUAUUAUUAUUAUAUUAUUAUUAUUCUUAUUUAUUUAUUAUUCUUAUUAUUAUUAUUAUAUUAUUAUUCUUAUUAUUAUUAUAUUUAUUUAUUUAUUACUUUAUUAUUAUUAUUCUUAUUAUUAUUAUAUUAUUA
rnacentral:lncRNA from 1 species